rnacentral:rRNA from 1 species
UACAGAGGUCUCAAGCGUUGUUCGGAUUCAUUGGGCGUAAAGGGCGCGUAGGCGGCGGGGUAAGUCGGGUGUGAAAUCUCAGAGCUCAACUCUGAAACUGCACUCGAUACUGCUCUGCUUGAGGACUGGAGAGGAGACUGGAAUUCACGAUGUAGCAGUGAAAUGCGUAGAUAUCGUGAGGAAGACCAGUGGCGAAGGCGGGUCUCUGGACAGUUCCUGACGCUGAGGCGCGAAGGCCAGGGGAGCAAACGGG